AGCAGUCGCCGCGGGAAUACGGAGGGUGCAAGCGUUAAUCGGAAUUACUGGGCGUAAAGCGCACGCAGGCGGUCUGUCAAGUCAGAUGUGAAAUCCCCGGGCUCAACCUGGGAACUGCAUUCGAAACUGGCAGGCUAGAGUCUUGUAGAGGGGGGUAGAAUUCCAGGUGUAGCGGUGAAAUGCGUAGAGAUCUGGAGGAAUACCGGUGGCGAAGGCGGCCCCCUGGACAAAGACUGACGCUCAGGUGCGAAAGCGUGGGGAGCAAACAGGAUUAGAUACCCCGGUAGUCCCUGUCUCUUAUAC
rnacentral:rRNA from 1 species